rnacentral:lncRNA from 1 species
AAUACACUCCAAACUGCUGUAACACAUCUCAAUCAGGUAGGUAGGGGUUACAAAUAAAGAAAUAGCAAGUACAUCUAGUUUCAGUGCCUCUUUCGCACACAGAUAUGUAACCAAAUUGGCAUUCCUGCUUGUAUAACUGAUCUUUGAACCCCUGCAAACUUGUGAGUACGAACACAUCUCUGGAAAGCCAUCGACCGCCUCAGAACAAUCCCUGGGAUCCUGCCACAUCGUGCAUAAAACUUGGCCUUCAGUCUCAAUAGUAAUAUUUCUGCAUCCUUCUUCGAUCGCCAUCAGCAUGGUUGUCCCUGUAGGCCAACUAUCAACUUAUGAUUAUGAAGUUAUGAGCAUUUGGCAAUUGUUUAUGAGCUACUGAAGAAACUAAAGAUCGCUGGCAAAACAUGUUUAUUGAUCAUUGGCAAACAACAUGCGAGCUACAACCAAGCUAUUUUGCAAGCACAUGAGUGAAGGCGGUACCUCUGUUCUUUUUGAACUUCUUGUUUAUUUGAUUCUGAACUUGCAAUUUUUUUGCAGGGUGCAGGUUACGGUAGUGCCGCAUGGGCAGGGGCGACUGCAAGGCGGUCUUUGGGAACAGCAGUUAGGGUCAGGCAUGAGCGUUGAGGAUACCAUGCAAUUUUCAUUCUGUUUGUGGAUCAAGUGGUUCAGUAUCUCAAUGUAAUAGUUAAGUAAAUAAGCAGGGUAUCUUUCUUUUCUCUUAAAAUUGGAAUUUUUAUCAAAGUAAAUAUUAAAUAUCAUGUCUACGUAUAGGAUACUCAUGUCCACAGUAGCGCCUAAGUUAUCGGGAUUUUUGAUGAAAACAUACUAUUUUUCCCUACCACAAUGUCAAUAAAAAUAAUGUCAUGUGAAUGGAAACUUGGAAUGAAAACUUUUCCAUUGGACGAUUGCAAACCUACGAGAGUAGUAAAUCGAGCUUGCCGCUGUUCAUCAGGGAUGGGGAAGAUUUCACCAUGGCUAGGAUGGUACCUUCAUUUUUCGUGUAAUGCAGAAAUUGUAAAAAUUAAACCGUGAUUGUUGAUCAAGGACUGUAAACAGGAUCAGUGGAUGAAACAAGAUCCUAUUUUGUUCACAGACUGUAGAACAUUUAAAAAUUGAAUACUUGUAAAUAAAAAUCAAAGUGUGUGUAGGGGAGAGUUCAACUUGAACUGCUCAUCUACCCAGACCGUUCCUUCCUUCUUUCAUACAAUUCCACAUGGAUGCAUCCCAGGCCUUCCUUAUUAAGUGCACUUCAUCUUUUUUUACUGAAGAAGAAUAUAAGUGUACUAACGAGACGCAGUUCCUUUUCAAAGCAAAUGUCUUCCUGAAGAAAAAGGAAAACCACGGCCAGACUUACAAAUGCCUUCCUGAAGAGAAGUGUAAAUGUCUUACUCUGAAUGCACUUAGCUAGCAACACUCGGACUUUAGUUUUGACCAUGCAUUCUAGCCGCCGGCCACCGCGAUGUGGCUGUCAUUUUUUAUUCGAACGACCAUGAGAAAUCCAUGUGCCCUGUACAACCACGUGAUGUUGAAUAAGAGCAGCAUCAGUGACAUCAGAUGGAAGAAGGAUAGUAGCAGAGGUAAGCAAUUGCAGCAGCACUACAAGGCUCUCAAGCAACAGUCCCACAUGGGCUGAAGCGAAAGUGAACAAUGGGUAGGCGAGAACGCAAGUGCUGGCUAGCAGCCGCACAGGAGUCAGAAGGUCACAGGCUGCGCGGGGGGAAGUCCAUCGUGCACAGGAGGAAGAAAGCACACGCGGGGAUGGAAGGGGUCGAUGGCGUGCGAGAAGCCGGCGGCUGCACGCGGAGCAUCUCGAGGAGAUGGCUCGAUCGCCGCCGUUUUCGUUGCUGGCUGAGAAGAAAAAAUAUAGAUGAGCGGCGUUAGGUGAUUUAGUUGAAUGACACCAGUUGGUAUAGUUGAACGGCGGCCCGACAGGGUGCUCGAGGUGGCGAAGUUGAAUGGCAUACCAGCAGGGUGCCGAAACAAAAUGGGCAUCUCUGAAGUUCGAGUAUGCUAGUACAUGCAUUUUGUCUAAAACAGAAAUAUUUUACUUCAAUUGAAGCAGAGAAUAGAAACAUUCUGCAGAGUGUGGAGACACAAAAAUCAAGGCAAAAUGAAGAAAGGCACGGAAUGCCUCCCAGGAUAAAUUCCUCGAUGGUUCACACACUGAUGAGUCUGCAGUUCAGGAGAGAGCUGAGGAACGGUGUUCGUUGUAGCUUGAUGCAGCCACACAUAUGGGCAGAAGGCAGACCUGCACAUGGAGCACAAAAUCGGUGUGGCUGCUGGAGGUUGCGAUGGAGCGAGACUAUUGAUGAUUGGCGGUCGGGCAGAGGAAGGAAGGGGAGACAGGGCGGCGAGCGAGAGCCGCGUGGGCGUUGAGGAACUGUGUGGCCUACAUCAGGGCGCGUGGGGACGACCCUACCUCAAUGGAGGCGGGAGCUCGCAGACGAGCGCCGACGGGAAGAGGUGGCGCAGGGUCUAGGCCGCCGGCGGCAGAUCUCGUGACUGGGGGCGGCGGCUCCGGUGGCCAACAGCGG